AUGGCCAUAGUGCUGCGAUGCAACCUGCUAAUGCUGCAAGUCGCCGGCGGCGGAGCUGCAUUGGAGUAUUCUCCGGGUUAUUGGAGCUCCACCACAGCUGCAAUCAAGCGUCGCCGGAGCCGCCGUGAAGCACACUGGAGGGUCGUCAAAACUUUGUCAGGGUUGCAAUGGAGCACCACUGGAACUGCAGUGAAGCACGCCGGAGGGUCGUCAAAACUUCGUCCGGGUUGCAAUGGAGGGCCGGUGGAGCCGCCGGUGCUUCCAAGGAAGCUGCUGCGCUGGGGUACAGAAAAGGAAGAUGAGGUUGUGCUAUGA
rnacentral:rRNA from 1 species